rnacentral:rRNA from 1 species
GAUGAACGCUAGCUACAGGCUUAACACAUGCAAGUCGAGCGACCGGCGCACGUGUGAGUAACACGUAUCCAACCUGCCUUUUACUCGGGGACAGCUUUUCGCAAGAACGAUUAAUACCUGAUAUAAAGGAUGGGGAUGCGUUUCAUUAGGUUGUUGGUGAGGUAACGGCUCACCAAGCCUUCGAUGGAUAGGGGUGCUGAGAGGAAGGUCCCCCGCAUUGGAACUGAGACACGGUCCAAACUCCUACGGGAGGGAGCAGUGAGGAAUAUUAGUCGAUGGACGCUAGCCUAAACCAGCCAAGUAGCGUGAAGGAUGAAGGCUUAUGGGUCGUAAACUUCUUUUAUAUAAGAAUAUGUAUUAUAUGAAUAAGGAUCGGCUAACUCCGUGCCAGCAGCCGCGGUAAUUC